CUGAUCAUACUGCGCCUGCGUGGGGUGCUACUCCCUAGUUCGAGACCCGGAUCUGCCCCUAGCGCUACCACCCCUCCCCACACACACGCACGCACACCCCACCCCCGCAUUCGCCGCUGCGGUCGUUCUGACUGGCUAUGGCUGCCAGUCUCAAGUCCAGGCUAGUCAUCCUAGGAGACCUACGGAUCCACAUCAGUUGUGUUGUGCAGUGAUUCGAGAACAAAUCAAAGAAGCUAGAUUCCCGAGCUGCUUUUGGCGUUGACGUAACUCGCGCCUGCGGGUGACUAGUUGGAGAUAAACGCUAAUAAUAGACUUUGGCUGGUGGCAGCCAAAAUGAGCGUGAUAGUAAAUGCUGAUAAGUUUCUGAGCUGGUGGCCACUGCGAUGGUAUUCAAGAAGCAUCCCCAAAUGUUAGCUAUUAAUGUUCUGCAGCGGAAAUGGGGACUGGAAGGAGUCUCUACGAGGCAUGGGGAUGGGACCCAGGCACUCAUACACACUAGGCAAGUGCUUUGCCACUGAGCUACACCCCCAAGCCUGGCACAGGAAUUCUUUUACUGCAAAGUCAGUAAACAGGUGAGCAAAUAAUUGGAACAAGCACAUCAUGGAAGAGCGUCUCCCAAUGCCCAAUAGACACGCGAGAGAUCUUCUUCAGUCCUCAUCAAGGAACAGAGAAGUCAAAUUACAAAGGAGGAACUGCACAGAGGACUAGAUUGAUAUUUUGACUGCAGCUUACCUGGUACCCUUGGAAGUCAACAAGAGGGCAUUGGAUCACCCGGGGCUGGAGUUACAAGUGGUUGUAAGUUACCUUGUGGGUGCUAGGAAUUGAACCCAGGUCCUCUGGAAGAGCAGCCACACCUCUGAACUGCUGAGCCAUCUUUCCAGUCCAAUAUUGUACUUUUAAUGAUCAAAUUUUGAGUGUAGGAUGUUUGGCUAAGAGGAAAGUAGUGGUCCAAUCAACUCAUAAGGUUGUUACAGUUUUCCAAGUUCCACUGUAACUUGGAGAACUGUAUUCAGGGUGUUGUAAAGGAUAGAUUCUACCACUAGGUGGAGAAGGGCCAUCGGCUCCUCUCUGAAGGCUUAGUUGAUCUAGGGACAGGUCAAGGGACCUUGGUAAGGUCACCACCCCUAGGGAGGAGGUUCCCCUUAGGACUGUGUACUUUUCCUUCCCAGAAUUCCCACCCUUUAAUUCAGUACCAUGAGGUUCAGAUGGAUCUGCCUGCCUUUCACAUUAACUAUUUCUUUUUCUUUUGAAUGCUGGCUGCAACCCAAAUUUGUUUUUAAACUCCCUUAAUUUAAGUGUUGGGCUUCCUUGCUCUCCUCCCCACCCCAACCCACC